UACGAGUGGCCCAACCGUUGUUCGGAAUCACUGGGCUUAAAGGGCGCGUAGGCGGGUGCUCAAGUCUGUGGUGAAAUCCUCCGGCUCAACCGGAGAACGGCCAUGGAUACUGGGUGUCUCGAGGGUGAUAGGGGUAUGCGGAACUAUCGGUGGAGCGGUGAAAUGCGUUGAUAUCGAUAGGAACUCCGGUGGCGAAGGCGGCAUACUGGAUCACUUCUGACGCUGAGGCGCGAAAGCCAGGGGAGCGAACGGG
rnacentral:rRNA from 1 species